rnacentral:rRNA from 1 species
UGGUGGGUAGUUUGACUGGGGCGGUCUCCUCCCAAAGAGUAACGGAGGAGCACGAAGGUGGGCUAAUCACGGUUGGACAUCGUGAGGUUAGUGCAAUGGCAUAAGCCCGCUUGACUGCGAGAAUGACAAUUCGAGCAGGUGCGAAAGCAGGUCAUAGUGAUCCGGUGGUUCUGAAUGGAAGGGCCAUCGCUCAACGGAUAAAAGGUACUCCGGGGAUAACAGGCUGAUACCGCCCAAGAGUUCAUAUCGACGGCGGUGUUUGGCACCUCGAUGUCGGCUCAUCACAUCCUGGGGCUGAAGUCGGUCCCAAGGGUAUGGCUGUUCGCCAUUUAAAGUGGUACGCGAGCUGGGUUUAGAACGUCGUGAGACAGUUCGGUCCCUAUCUGCCGUGGGCGUUGGAAGAUUGAAGGGGGCUGCUCCUAGUACGAGAGGACCGGAGUGGACGAACCUCUGGUGUUCGGGUUGUGUCGCCAGACGCAUUGCCCGGUAGCUAAGUUCGGAAUCGAUAACCGCUGAAAGCAUCUAAGCGGGAAGCGAGCCCUGAGAUGAGUCUUCCCUGAUACUUUAAGUAUCCUAAAGGGUUGUCGGAGACUACGACGUUGAUAGGUCAGGUGUGUAAGUGCUGUGAGGCAUUGAGCUAACUGAUACUAAUUGCCCGUGAGGCUUAACCAU